AUGCACGCUGGCGGCGUGCCUAAUCCAUGCAAGUCGAGCGAACAGACGAGGAGCUUGCUCCUCUGACGUUAGCGGCGGACGGGUGAGUAACACGUGGAUAACCUACCUAUAAGACUGGGAUAACUUCGGGAAACCGGAGCUAAUACCGGAUAAUAUAUUGAACCGCAUGGUUCAAUAGUGAAAGACGGUUUUGCUGUCACUUAUAGAUGGAUCCGCGCCGCAUUAGCUAGUUGGUAAGGUAACGGCUUACCAAGGCAACGAUGCGUAGCCGACCUGAGAGGGUGAUCGGCCACACUGGAACUGAGACACGGUCCAGACUCCUACGGGAGGCAGCAGUAGGGAAUCUUCCGCAAUGGGCGAUAGCCUGACGGAGCAACGCCGCGUGAGUGAUGAAGGUCUUCGGAUCGUAAAACUCUGUUAUUAGGGAAGAACAAAUGUGUAAGUAACUAUGCACGUCUUGACGGUACCUAAUCAGAAAGCCACGGCUAACUACGUG
rnacentral:rRNA from 1 species